rnacentral:lncRNA from 10 species
UUUUGUUCUUGACAUUAAUGAAGUUGCCUCCUGAAUUUCACUGUUAAGGAUGACUUUGGCAUUUGGUUUGAAAUGUUAAUUUUUAUUUAUCAUCUUGAGGAGAAGGCAAUAUGAAGAUAGAGACAAUGGAGAUUUUAAAACGUUGAUUGGUGGAGACUGGAAAGUUGUGGUCAGAAGCCAAGGAAUGCUGACAGCCACCAUAAACUGGAAGAGGGUCUUGCUCUAUUGCACAGGAGUGCAGUGGUACAAUCAUGGCUGUCUGCGGCCUCAAUCUCCCUGGCUUAAGCAAUCCUCCUGCCUCAGCCUCCCAAAGUAGCUGGGACUACAGGAAAAGUGUCAGGCCCAUUGAAGUUACCACGUGCCAUGGCUGUGAGUGCCUUCACUACUUGGAGUAGGCUCAUCAGUAGACAACCCUCCCAGAGCUCUACGUGCAGCCGGCAUCUGCGCGGUCUGUUAGGGCUUGCUCUGUUGCCCAAGCUGGAGUGGGCAACAACCCAUCCACCUUGGCCUCCCAAAGUGCUGGGAUUACAGGCACCUAUUCUAGAGGAGCAGUAUUGAAGGGCUUGGGGAAACCGAGUGCUCUCUAAGUGUGGCCCUCACCAUCCUUCCUGGUGCGCUAUCUCCAGCCGUGCAUCCGAAAACAUCCCAGUCUGCCCCUGGCCUCUGCAUGGAGCCUGACCCCCAACACAGACCUCUCAAGAGGUUCUGGAUUCACUGGUGCUGCUACAGCCCUGAGCAAAAACACAGCUGUUUCGUUUACCACCCCACCCCAACAUAAGCUGUCCUCAGACUUUACAAAGACUUAGGGAUUGCACAGUCCACAAGACUUUCAAUGCCUUUGCCCUGUAUCUCAACUAACUUUCAAAUAGAGGGACCUUCUUAUAGGAAGAAGAAGGAAAAAUCAAGUGGAAAAACACCUUGAUCAGGUAAUUGAAGGAGAACUGGGGCUCAGGCUGCCACUUGGUUUGGAAAGGGUGUGGAGGUGGCUAAUCUGGCCCUGGCCUAAGAGCAAUUCCAGGCUGGCGGGCUGGACCGCCUGUCUCCAUAGCAACUGUUGUUAUUGGUAACUGAAUAACCAUUUCCUAGAACAGCGGCUGGAGCUGCUGAUGGUUUUCCCUUCUACUUGGAAGCGAGAGGAGCCAGGCUCUUUGCUGAUUGAUCCUAAGUGCUGAGCUCUUUGCUGAUUGGGAUCUUCACUUGAUAUUGGGCAAGCUGAAGCCACCCUUCUGUUUUAUCUCUGACCUCUGCCAGCAGAGAGGGUGGGACAAACUGACUUAAUGUCUAUUUUCCGGCUUCCUCUGAGAGGUUGAGAAAGGUGCUCAAGGGCAUUUAGCUAGCAAGAUCUAGAACUUGAACUUUGCCCUGUCUGAUUCUGAAACCCAUGCUCGUGACCACAUGGCUGUUCUGACUCUGUCCCAUUCCUCUGAGAUCUCAUGAAAACCUGAUUAGCCCUUUCUCAUGACACCAUGAGCUGUCUAAUUAUUUGUGAGGACAGGUAGCAUCUUACAGUGAUCCAUGGUCUGCACAAAGGCUGUUCUAGAAGCUGUCUUACUUGAUUAUCCUGCAGUGGUGUCAGUGGGACCUUAAAAUGCUGUAGCCCUAGAGUUAUUAGGGCUAUUGUGUUUGUUACCAAGCCAAAGGAGCUUGCUGCCCAAUGCACUAGAAGCCAAUACUAUGACACUGGGUUUUUGAGAAACAAAAAGCUUUUUAAGUCGACUAACAAGGAGACAGGAGUCCGGCUCAAAUCUGUCUCCCUGUGCUGGCUUUCAGUCAUUUCAUUAAAAAAGGUUGAGGGGGUAGAUUCUGGGAUUAGCGGAUGAUUGGUGGAAGGAAAGGGGAGGUCUGGAAAGUCCUCGGGCACGCGCAGUUCUCUCUCUAUGCUACCACAUGUGCAAAUUUGCGGGGAGUGUUCAUGUGGAACAGGCAGUGUUUCCUGUUUCCAGACCAGGCAAGGUGGCUCACAAAUGGCUCUACGAUCCAGAGAAAGUCAGCAGGGAGGGUUGUGAUUUGUUAUUAUGAAAAAUUAACAAAUUACAUCCAAAAUGUGUUUAACUCCUAUUCCCUUUGAAAAGGAUCUUUGGGUACCUAAUUGACAUAUUUUAAGAGACAUAUUGGCUAGUUAGACAUCAAUUGACAUCCUCAUUAAAUAUCAAUUAACACAUAUCCUAACGUAAUAUUUAAUUAGCUUGCUGUAGCUAUUCUUUUAAAAGUCAAUUAAAUGCUUGGCAUAUUCUUACAAGCCGACUCCAUUGAUAGCAAUUAUGGAUGAAUUCCUGUCAUAAGUCAUUUUUAGUGGAUAGCAGGGCAAACUGAUUCUGAAUAUACACAUCAGGUCUUUCAAGAAGAAUUUAAAAAUCAAUCAUUAGAUAUCUAAUGAACCCUCUUCUCUGCUGAUUGUGAAUAAAAGGCAUGUUCGGCUCUUGGAGCUCCUGAGAGCUAAGUUGUAGGGACGUGACUGAAUUUUUCAAUGACCAC